GAUGAACGCUAGCGGCAGGCCUAACACAUGCAAGUCGAGGGAGAAGCCCUUUCGGGGGCAGACACCGGCGAACGGGUGCGUAACGCGUAUGCAACCUACCUUUCACAGGGGGAUAGCCCGAAGAAAUUUGGAUUAAUACCCCAUAAUAUUAUUGGAUGGCAUCAUUUGAUAAUUAAAACUGCGGUGGUGAAAGAUGGGCAUGCGUCCUAUUAGCUAGUUGGAGUGGUAACGGCACCCCAAGGCUACGAUAGGUAGGGGUCCUGAGAGGGAGAUCCCCCACACUGGUACUGAGACAGGGACCAGACUCCUACGGGAGGCAGCAGUGAGGAAUAUUGGUCAAUGGUCGGAAGACUGAACCAGCCAUGCCGCGUGCAGGAAGAAUGCCUUAUGGGUUGUAAACUGCUUUUAUAUGGGAAGAAUAAGGCGUACGUGUACGUUGAUGACGGUACCAUAUGAAUAAGCAUCGGCUAACUCCGUG
rnacentral:rRNA from 1 species